UCUCCUGUUUCAGAGUUUUGCGCAAUGUGCGUGUCGUUUUUUAUUUGAUUUUUUUUUUAACCCCCUAAGGUGCAGGGCGGUCGGGAAACGUAUCGAUGGGGAAAAGGCAGACUGACAUAAACCUUU